rnacentral:rRNA from 1 species
UACGAAGGGGGCUAGCGUUGCUCGGAAUCACUGGGCGUAAAGCGCACGUAGGCGGAUCUUUAAGUCAGGGUGAAAUCCCAAGGCUCAACCUUGGAACUGCCUUUGAUACUGGGAUCUUGAGUACGGGAGAGGUGAGUGGAACUGCGAGUGUAGAGGUGAAAUUCGUAGAUAUUCGGAAGAACACCAGUGGCGAAGGCGGCCCGCUGGACAUGUAUUGACGCUGAGGUGCGAAAGCGUGGGAGCAAACAGGG